UUUACAGGAAGAUGUGGGUCAGUUGUCCCAAGAAACCAGUGAUCUCAUUGCAAAAUAUGAUCAACUUAUGCUGACAUUUUCAAAACAGUUUAUUCUUUGGGAUUCAAUUCUUACAGAUAUUGAAAAGGAAAGAAUGAAAGCAAAAAGCUUAAAAUAAAUCUUGUGUUGAAGUCAAAUCAUAGAAUUUCGUGAGUGUCUCAAAACUUUUGGAACUUUGAAUUCAUUCCCAUAAAUUAUUGUGCAAAAUCUUUAUAAUUAUUGUUAAUAUGAAUAUAAAUUGCCUUCAAAUGCAUUUGUAACAUUUUAUUAUUUGAGAAUAAACAUUGUUAUUAAAUUUCGUGGUGUAA